CCCACGCAAAGGUCCCUGAAGUAUGCAGCGGAAAUGCGCUUCUCUGAGCCAACAGGUGCAGGCGACGGGUCCCACAGGGCGGCAUUACCAGCGCGUCAACUGAGCGAGGAGGAUUGCUGCCGCCGUCUCCUUCCUGGAAGUUCCUCAGUGUGACGACACAUCUUCGGAACCUCGUGUCAUCCGGGCCGUCCCUGCUGCGUCCUCACACCCCGGACGUCGUGCCCGACCUUGAACCAUGAGAGUAAUCUGUUUGCUGGUGCUGGUGGCCACGAUGGUGCUCAUGCUGGCGCUCGGGCCCGCCACCACUGCUCCAAGAGGUUCCUUUCAAGGCAUCAUCUGGAACGGAACACGUGCUACCCGUCCUAAAGUGGGUAUUCCAUUUAGCUGUUACCCCAAAUGCAAAAGACCCCCGCCACGCAUCGUCAGACCCACGGGCACGUAUGACUUCGUUGUCUGAUCAGCUCGCGGGGAGGAGCUUGGUCCCAGGAUCAACGGACUGGGAUAUCCCGGAGGAGUAAACACACACUAGCUGCAUCUUCACUUCUCUCAAAAUAUAUGUUUCCAUGAUGAACUGAAUCAGAGCUUGUACGAUACACAAAUUUUUCAUCAUCACUGUUGUGGCAACUGUCGCCUAAAUUUGGUCGGCAGAUGUGAGGGAUGUGUGCAGAUUUGAGACCUAAUAAAAUACGUACAGUGAA